rnacentral:rRNA from 1 species
UACAGAGGUCUCAAGCGUUGUUCGGAUUCAUUGGGCGUAAAGGGUGCGUAGGCGGCGCGGUAAGUCGGGUGUGAAAUCUAGGAGCUCAACUCCUAAACUGCACUGGAUACUGCUCUGCUGGAGGACUGGAGAGGAGACUGGAAUUCACGGUGUAGCAGUGAAAUGCGUAGAUAUCGUGAGGAAGACCAGUGGCGAAGGCGGGUCUCUGGACAGUUCCUGACGCUGAGGCGCGAAGGCCAGGGGAGCAAACGGG